UACGGGGGGGGCAAGCGUUGUUCGGAAUUACUGGGCGUAAAGGGCUCGUAGGCGGCCAACUAAGUCAGACGUGAAAUCCCUCAGCUUAACUGGGGAACUGCGUCUGAUACUGGAUGGCUAGAGUGUGGGAGAGGGAUGCGGAAUUCCAGGUGUAGCGGUGAAAUGCGUAGAUAUCUGGAGGAAUACCGGUGGCGAAGGCGGCAUCCUGGACCGACAUUGACGCUGAGGAGCGAAAGCUAGGGGAGCAAACGGG
rnacentral:rRNA from 1 species